rnacentral:misc_RNA from 1 species
UCUCCGUUGGUGAACCAGCGGAGGGAUCAUUGCUGGAACACGUCCCCCCGGGCGUACCCAGAAACCCUUUUUGAUCUUAUAAGAACCCAUCCUUUCCUCGGCCAGGCCGGGGGACAUCACGUCCCCCCCGCGCCUCCCGGUCCGCCGGGAAGAGCGGCGCAGGUCUGCCGGCGGCCCUUCUAUAAACUCUUGUUUACCUUACGUAUUACCUCUGAGUAUAUAACAAAACAAAUGAAUCAAAACUUUCAACAACGGAUCUCUUGGUUCUGGCAUCGAUGAAGAACGCAGC